rnacentral:rRNA from 1 species
UACGAAGGGGGCUAGCGUUGCUCGGAAUCACUGGGCGUAAAGCGCACGUAGGCGGGUUGCUAAGUCAGGGGUGAAAUCCUGGAGCUCAACUCCAGAACUGCCUUUGAUACUGGCGGCCUUGAGUCCGGGAGAGGUGAGUGGAACUGCGAGUGUAGAGGUGAAAUUCGUAGAUAUUCGCAAGAACACCAGUGGCGAAGGCGGCGACCUGGUUCGAUACUGACGCUGAGGUGCGAAAGCGUGGGGAACAAACAGG